CAAUAAGCAAAUUAAGAGCGUAUGGGGAAUGCCUAGGCUCUCAGAGACGAUGAAGGACGUGAUAAGCUGCGAUAAGCUUCGGGGAGGGGCACAUACCCUUUGAUCCGAAGAUUUCCGAAUGGGGCAACCCACUAUAUUGAAGAUAUAGUAUCCGCAAGGAGGUAAACCCGGAGAACUGAAACAUCUAAGUACCCGGAGGAAGAGAAAACAAAAGUGAUUCCGAUAGUAGCGGCGAGCGAAAUUGGAACAGCCCAAACCAGUGUUGUUACGGCAAUACUGGGGUUGUAGGACCACGACAUUCGAACUGCAAUGAACUAGAAUACUUUGGAAAAAGUAGCCAUAGACGGUGAUAGCCCGGUAUAGGUAAAGAACAGUAAGAUAGUGGUAUCCUGAGUAGUGCGGGGCACGUGAAACCCUGUAUGAAUCCGGCGGGACCAUCCGCCAAGGCUAAAUACUCCUGAGAGACCGAUAGUGAACUAGUACCGUGAGGGAAAGGUGAAAAGAACCCUGAAUAAGGGAGUGAAAUAGAUCCUGAAACCAUACGCUUACAAGCGGUCGGAGCCCUUUGGGGUGACGGCGUGCCUUUUGCAUAAUGAGCCUACGAGUUACUGUUGUUAGCAAGGUUAAGAUUUUAAGAAUCGGAGCCGUAGCGAAAGCGAGUCUGAAUAGGGCGCCAUAGUUAGCAGUAGUAGACGCGAAACCGUGUGAUCUACCCUUGGGCAGGUUGAAGCUGUAGUAACAUAUAGUGGAGGACCGAACCCGUUGACGUUGAAAAGUCUUGGGAUGACCUGAGGGUAGGGGUGAAAGGCCAAUCAAACUCGGAAAUAGCUCGUACUCCCCGAAAUGCAUUUAGGUGCAGCGUUGAUAUUAGUUUUAUAGAGGUAGAGCUACUGAUUGGAUGCGGGGGCUUCACCGCCUACCAAUUCCUGACAAACUCCGAAUGCUAUAAAAUAUGAUCAGCAGUGAGGGCAUGGGUGCUAAGGUCCAUGUCCGAGAGGGAAAGAACCCAGACCAUCAGCUAAGGUCCCAAAAUGUAUGUUAAGUUGAAUAAACGAGGUUGGAUUGCACAGACAGCUAGGAUGUUGGCUUGGAAGCAGCCAUUCAUUUAAAGAGUGCGUAACAGCUCACUAGUCGAGCGAUCCGGCAUGGAUAAUAAUCGGGCAUAAACAUACUACCGAAGCUAUGGAAUAAUUUAUUAUUGGUAGGGGAGCAUUCUAUAGGCGCCGAAGGUGAGUCGUGAGGCUUGCUGGAGCGUAUAGAAAAGAAAAUGUAGGCAUAAGUAACGAUAAUGCGGGCGAGAAACCCGCACACCGAAAGACUAAGGUUUCCUCAGCUAUGCUAAUCAGCUGAGGGUUAGUCGGGACCUAACGCGAACCCGAAAGGGGUAGUGGAUGGACAACAGGUUAAUAUUCCUGUACCUGCUCACACUAAAAGUGACGGAUUUGAAUAUUUGGUGCGUACUGACGGAAUAGUACGUUGAAGCGAGUGGUGACACCGCGAUAGUACACUAAGGCUACGGCUGCGGUGAUAAUCCAGAGAAUCAAGUUCCAAGAAAAGCGAGUGAAGCAGCCCGUACCCUAAACCGACACAGGUAGUUGGGAUGAGAAUUCUAAGGUGCUCGAGAGAUUCAUGGUUAAGGAACUAGGCAAAAUCGACCCGUAACUUCGGGAGAAGGGUCGCCCAUCUUUUAGAUGGGCCGCAGUGAAGAGGUCCAGGCGACUGUUUAUCAAAAACACAGGGCUCUGCAAAAUCGAAAGAUGAAGUAUAGGGCCUGACACCUGCCCGGUGCCGGAAGGUUAAGAGGAGAUGUUAGCUUCGGCGAAGCAUUGAAUUGAAGCCCCGGUAAACGGCGGCCGUAACUAUAACGGUCCUAAGGUAGCGAAAUUCCUUGUCGGGUAAGUUCCGACCUGCACGAAUGGUGUAACGAUCUGGACACUGUCUCAACCAUGAGCUCGGUGAAAUUGUAG
rnacentral:rRNA from 1 species